CACGUAGGCGGAUUGGAAAGUUGGGGGUGAAAACCCGGGGCUCAACCCCGGAACUGCCUUCAAAACUCCCAGUCUUGAGUUCGAGAGAGGUGAGUGGAAUUCCGAGUGUAGAGGUGAAAUUCGUAGAUACUCGGAGGAACACCAGUGGCGAAGGCGGCUCACUGGCUCGAUACUGACGCUGAGGUGCGAAAGCGUGGGGAGCAAACA
rnacentral:rRNA from 1 species